CUUGACACUGAACAUUGAGCCUUGAUGUGUAGGAUAGGUGGGAGGCUUUGAAGCGUGGACGCCAGUCUGCGUGGAGCCAACCUUGAAAUACCACCCUUUAAUGUUUGAUGUUCUAACGUAGGCCCCUAAUCGGGGUUGCGGACAGUGUCUGGUGGGUAGUUUGACUGGGGCGGUCUCCUCCCAAAGCGUAACGGAGGAGCACGAAGGUUAGCUAAUCCUGGUCGGACAUCAGGAGGUUAGUGCAAUG
rnacentral:rRNA from 1 species